rnacentral:misc_RNA from 1 species
GAAAUGCGAUAAGUAGUGUGAAUUGCAGAAUUCAGCGAAUCAUCGAAUCUUUGAACGCACAUUGCGCCCUUCGGUUAUUCCUUAGGGCAUGCCUGUUCGAGCGUCAUUUCAACCUUCAAGCUCAGCUUGGUGUUGGGUGUUUGUCCCGCCCCCCGCGCGUGGACUCGCCUCAAAUUGAUUGGCAGCCGCAUCCCCCCGCCGCGAGCGCAGCACAGUCGCGCUUACGACGUGGGUGGGUCGGCGAUCCAGAAGCCUAUUUCAACGUCUUGACCUCGGAUCAGGUAGGGAUACCCGCUGAACUUAA